AGAUUAGUACAUAUUGAAUGGUAU
rnacentral:siRNA from 1 species